AGGAAUUAAUAUGAAUUGAAUGAAGGAAGCUGAAGUAGGAAGGAGUUGGACUCAAGAAAAAAAGAAAAAGUGUUGAAAAGAAGAAUCGUAGGCAUCAUUGAGCGCAAAUUCACCGCUGAGCGCCAGCCUCGUAGAGGAGUUCUCUGGCCAACCCCUAAGCACCAACGCUGAGGGAAAAAUUAAGUGUCACAUCCACCGCUCAAUGCCACUUCACCGCUGAGCAUUGGCCUCUUUAGUGAAGCCAUUGUCAGAAGCGUGAGCGACAACGUUGAGCAACCUGUAUGAGUACCGCGCCUACUGUUGAGCGGUAAUCUAGUGCUGAGCGACCUGUAUGAAUACCGC
rnacentral:lncRNA from 1 species